rnacentral:rRNA from 1 species
AACGAACGCUGGCGGCAGGCUUAACACAUGCAAGUCGAACGCCCCGCAAGGGGAGUGGCAGACGGGUGAGUAACGCGUGGGAAUCUACCCAUCUCUGCGGAAUAGCUCCGGGAAACUGGAAUUAAUACCGCAUACGCCCUACGGGGGAAAGAUUUAUCGGGGAUGGAUGAGCCCGCGUUGGAUUAGCUAGUUGGUGGGGUAAAGGCCUAACAAGGCGACGAUCCAUAGCUGGUCUGAGAGGAUGAUCAGCCACAUUGGGACUGAGACACGGCCCAAACUCCGACGGGAGGCAGCAGUGGGGAAUAUUGGACAAUGGGCGCAAGCCCGAUCCAGCCAUGCCGCGUGAGUGAUGAAGGCCUUAGGGUUGUAAAGCUCUUUCACCGGUGAAGAUAAUGACGGUAACCGGAGAAGAAGCCCCGGCUAACUUCGUGCCAGCCGCCGCCGUAA